GCUCAGGAUAAACGCUGGCGGCGUGCAUUAAACAUGCAAGUCGAACGGAUAUCUCCUUUCGGGGGGAUAUCAGUGGCAGACGGCUGAGUAACACGUGAGUGACCUGUCCUUUGCAAGUGGGGGAUAAUUCCGCGAAAGCGGGACUAAUACCGCAUGUGCUGGGCUGGAUAGAGCCAGUUCAGUAAAGCCGCAAGGCGCUUGAGGAGGGGCUCGCGGCCGAUUAGCUAGUUGGUGGGGUAAAGGCUUACCAAGGCGAUGAUCGGUAGCUGGUCUGAGAGGAUGAUCAGCCAGACUGGGACUGAGACACGGCCCAGACUCCUACGGGAGGCAGCAGUUAGGAAUUUUGCACAAUGGGCGAAAGCCUGAUGCAGCAACGCCGCGUGGGCGAUGAAGGUCUUCGGAUCGUAAAGCCCUUUUCUAGGGGAAGAGAACGGACGGUACCCUAGGAAUAAGCCUCGGCUAACUACGUGCCAGCAGCCGCGGUAAUACGUAGGAGGCGAGCGUUGUCCGGAUUUAUUGGGCGUAAAGAGCGCGUAGGUGGUUUGGCAAGUUGGGUGUGAAAUCCCCUGGCUCAACUGGGGGGGGUCAUCCGAUACUGCCAGACUUGAGGCAGGCAGAGGAAGGUAGAAUUCCCGGUGUAGUGGUGAAAUGCGUAGAUAUCGGGAGGAAUACCAGUGGCGAAGGCGGCCUUCUGGGCCUGUCCUGACGCUGAGGCGCGAAAGCGUGGGGAGCGAACCGGAUUAGAUACCCGGGUAGUCCACGCAGUAAACGAUGGACACUAGGUGUGGGGGGUAUCGACCCCUCCCGUGCCGAAGCUAACGCAUUAAGUGUCCCGCCUGGGGAGUACGGCCGCAAGGCUAAAACUCAAAUGAAUUGACGG
rnacentral:rRNA from 1 species